GCUGCCCGCUGCCGGCAGCCCCUCGCGCACCGCACGCUGGGGCGCGGAGCUUUCCUGCCCGGCUGCAGACCAACCAAUAGCGACUUGGCCCCGUGGGGGCGGGCUCAAAACGCAGCGCGCUUAUUGCCUGUCGGAAACGUCAAUCCCGCUUCCUCCUCCCCUCCCUCCCCCCGUUGCCAUCGCAACCGCACGCCGCGCAGGCUCAGUUGCUUCAAGAUCUGCGCGUGCGGAAUAAGUUACACUCACGUGCGGAGCGGAUGUGGCAGUUGCCAAAGCUUCAGCCCAGGCUCGCAGAAUGAAGCUGCAUUGAAGUACGUACAACCAUUCGUUGCAGGACAAACCUGAGAAGUGGUGGCAAGAGGAAGGUAGAUCACUGUGCAGCUCAGGUUUUAAAGUUCUCAUCAGGUGCCAGCCUCCCGCAGGGAGCACCUAGAGGUUAGUACCAUAAUCCU